GGCUCAUUGCAACCUCGACUCCUGGGUUCAAGCAAUCCUCCCACCUCAGCCUCCCCAGCCUUUGUGUGUUAGCUUCUUCAAAUUCUGGUUUUAGUAGAAUUGUGUUGGGUUUGUGAACAUUGAUUUGCAUCACAUCAUUUAUAUCUAAGCUCUCAAAAAAUAAUUUUAUUUCAGGUGUUUAUUCACUAAGUUUCAUUCACUAUUUGUAUUUACUCCAGAGGAGGAAAACACAAAUAAACAUAAAUUUUCUUCCAUUCUACCUGUCAAAUCUAUCAUUUAUGUAUGUAUUAUUUAGCAUUAAUUUUACA
rnacentral:lncRNA from 10 species